UACGUAGGUUCCGAGCGUUAUCCGGAUUUACUGGGCGUAAAGCGCGUUCAGGCGGUUUGGCAAGUCGGGCAUGAAAUCUCUCGGCUCAACCGGGAGAGGUUGUCCGAUACUGCUGGACUUGAGGGCAGUAGAGGGUGGUGGAAUUCCGGGUGUAGUGGUGAAAUGCGUAGAUAUCCGGAGGAACACCAGUGGCGAAAGCGGCCACCUGGGCUGCACCUGACGCUGACACGCGAAAGCUAGGGGAGCGAACGGG
rnacentral:rRNA from 1 species